GAUGAACGCUGGCGGCGUGCCUAAUACAUGCAAGUCGAGCGAACAGACGAGGAGUUUGCUCCCCUUACGUUAGCGGCUGACGGGUGAGUAAAACGUGGAUAACCUAUCUAUAAGACUGGGACAACUUCGGGAAACCGCAGCCAAUACCGGAUAAUAUAUUGAACCGCAUGGUUAAAUAGUCAAAGAUGGUUUUGCUGUUCCUCAUAGAUGGAUCCGCGCAGCAGUAGCUAGUUGGUAAGGUAACGGCAUACCAAGGCAACGAUGCGUAGCCGGCAUGAUAGGGAGAUAAGGCAGCCGGAAACUAAGAACCAGUCCAGACUCCUGCAGGAGGCACAGAUAUGGAAUCUUGCGCAAUGAGCGAAAGCCUGACGGAGGAACGCCGCGUAGUGGAUGAAGGUCUUGUAAUCGUAAAACGUUGUUAUUAGGGAAGAACAAAAGUGUAAGAAACUAUGCACGUCUUGACGUUACCAAAUCAGAAAGCCACGGCUAACUACGUG
rnacentral:rRNA from 1 species